UCCGCCUCCGCGCCCUACGCGCCCUCCCUCCCUCCUCGUGCCACCCGGGGAGGUAGCUCGGCCGCUUUCCCACGAUGCUGCAGUGGACGGGAGGCUCCAGGAGGCAGGUGUAUGCCUCCAGGAAAUCGACACAGAGCAGGUAACCUUGUUAGGCUCACCGAUUUCAAGCUGUGAAAGUUGCUUCGGCACAGUUAGUGUUCUCAUGUCGCUGUGACUGACUAUCGGAACAAGCAUGGUGGGCAGGCAGAGGUAGUACUUUGAACAAAAGAAGCGGCAGCAGCAGACAGCAGGGCUGCAGAACCAGGAUGGCACAGAUGGCGCAGGCGGCCAAGCUGUUGGUGAUCAGGCGCCUCGAUCGCUUGACAUCCUAAGCCUGAACAAUUCGGCAGCUCCAGUCAGUCACCGCAAUGGCCCUGAAAAUGCAGGUAGUUUUCUUCCAAAUUUGGACAACGCAAGUUUUUGUGCUUCCCCUCUAGAGGCGCUGAAGAAGAUCACUUCUUCAUAUAAUAUUGAUCCGAAGGAAACAAGUAAGAGUACAGCUAUAUGUAUAUCAGAUGAGGGAAUUCAUUAUGCUUUUCUUGUUAUAUUGUAUUUGCAUGCUUAGCACAGAUAUAUUAACAAGAUCAA